GAUGAACGCUAGCGGCAGGCUUAACACAUGCAAGUCGAGGGGUAUAGUUCUUCGGAACUAGAGACCGGCGCACGGGUGCGUAACGCGUAUGCAAUCUACCUUUUGCAGAGGGAUAGCCCAGAGAAAUUUGGAUUAAUACCUCAUAGUAUGUGAGAAUGGCAUCAUUUUCACAUUAAAGUCACAACGGCAAAAGAUGAGCAUGCGUCCCAUUAGCUAGUUGGUAAGGUAACGGCUUACCAAGGCAACGAUGGGUAGGGGUCCUGAGAGGGAGAUCCCCCGCACUGGUACUGAGACACGGACCAGACUCCUACGGGAGGCAGCAGUGAGGAAUAUUGGACAAUGGGCGCAAGCCUGAUCCAGCCAUGCCGCGUGCAGGAUGACGGUCCUAUGGAUUGUAAACUGCUUUUGUACAGGAAGAAACACUGGUUCGUGAACCAGCUUGACGGUACUGUAAGAAUAAGGAUCGGCUAACUCCGUGCCAGCAGCCGCCGUAACAC
rnacentral:rRNA from 1 species